rnacentral:rRNA from 1 species
UACGGGGGGGGCAAGCGUUGUUCGGAAUUACUGGGCGUAAAGGGCGCGUAGGCGGCCAGACCAAGUCGAGUGUGAAAUUGCAGGGCUUAACUUUGCAGGGUCGCUCGAUACUGGUCGGCUAGAGUGUGGAAGAGGGUGCUGGAAUUCCCGGUGUAGCGGUGAAAUUCGUAGAUAUCGGGAGGAACACCGGUGGCGAAGGCGGCCUUCUGGACAAUGACUGACGCUGAGACGCGAAAGCGUGGGGAGCAAACAGG